rnacentral:ncRNA from 23 species
GAUUUCGCAAUGCCGCCAUGAGUGUCGCCUGUUCGCGUCGAAGGAUCGAUCUGUUUUCGAUCAUAUAUCAGUUUCGGUAUAGCAAUCAUCAAAGAUCGCAUUUGACAGUUAUGUCAAAGGGACACACCCUUCGCGCGUCCUGGGGCGUGCCAGUCGAUGACGAGGAAAAUCGUAUCGAUUGAAAUCUGCGUCCCGGGGCCGAUUGGGAGGAUACCGGAGAUCGAUAGACGACAGCAGCGCGCUUGCGCUUCUGCUCGACUGCGCGGCCCGCGAAGCCCCGAGGUGUCGCGUCCAUCAACCAGGGAGAGUUAC